rnacentral:rRNA from 1 species
UGGGGAAUAUUGCACAAUGGGCGCAAGCCUGAUGCAGCCAUGCCGCGUGUGUGAAGAAGGCCUUCGGGUUGUAAAGCACUUUCAGCGGGGAGGAAGGCGUUAAGGUUAAUAACCUUGGCGAUUGACGUUACCCGCAGAAGAAGCACCGGCUAACUCCGUGCCAGCAGCCGCGGUAAUACGGAGGGUGCAAGCGUUAAUCGGAAUUACUGGGCGUAAAGCGCACGCAGGCGGUCUGUCAAGUCGGAUGUGAAAUCCCCGGGCUCAACCUGGGAACUGCAUUCGAAACUGGCAGGCUAGAUUCUUGUAGAGGGGGGGAGAAUUCCAGGUGUAGCGGUGAAAUGCGUAGAGAUCUGGAGGAAUACCGGUGGCGAAGGCGGCCCCCUGGACAAAGACUGACGCUCAGGUGCGAAAGCGUGGGGAGCAAACAGG